UACAGAGGGGGCAAGCGUUGUUCGGAAUUACUGGGCGUAAAGAGCUCGUAGGCGGUUUGUCGCGUCGAAUGUGAAAUCCCGGGGCUCAACCCCGGGCCUGCAUUCGAUACGGGCAGACUAGAGUUCGGUAGGGGAGUCUGGAAUUCCUGGUGUAGCGGUGAAAUGCGCAGAUAUCAGGAGGAACACCGGUGGCGAAGGCGGGACUCUGGGCCGAUACUGACGCUGAGGAGCGAAAGCGUGGGGAGCAAACAGG
rnacentral:rRNA from 1 species